rnacentral:rRNA from 1 species
UACGUAGGGGGCAAGCGUUGUCCGGAAUCAUUGGGCGUAAAGAGCGUGUAGGCGGCCAGAAAAGUCCGCUGUGAAAACUCGAGGCUCAACUUCGAGCUGUCGGUGGAAACUUUCUGGCUAGAGUCCGGAAGAGGAGAGUGGAAUUCCUGGUGUAGCGGUGGAAUGCGCAGAUAUCAGGAGGAACACCAAUGGCGAAGGCAGCUCUCUGGUACGUGACUGACGCUGAGACGCGAAAGCGUGGGGAGCAAACAGG